GUGCUCACACUAGUAGCACAUACAGGAAAAUUAGAAUGAUACAGGGAAAAAUUAGCAUUGCCCCUGCAUAAGGAUCACACACACACACACACACACACACACACAUACAUGAGGCACUCCAUACUUUA
ensembl:snRNA